rnacentral:tRNA from 1 species
UCUAAUAUGGCAGAAUAGUGCACUGGACUUAAACCCCAAUUAUAAAGAAUUUACUUUUUUUAGAA